AGUUUGGCUGUUAUGUCUAGCAGACUGAACAACAUGAACUCUUUUGUUGGCUCAUCUUUUUUUAAAUAGAGGAACUGAAUUGUAGAGAUAUUUCUGCUUUUUUUCAUCAGUUUCAGUUUGUCAUCAGCAACAA